ACUUUCAGUACAGAUCUCUGAGAAUAUGCACUGGUACUGUUUUCCUUCUUUGAACGAAGCCUUGAUGAAACCAGGGGUAGAUACCAACCUUGUGCAAUGAUUUAAUAUUUGCACCUGCAGCAGUGCUGCUCUCGGAAAGGGCAUGAAAAUAAAGCUGGCCAGAAGAUGAAUGAAAAAGAAAUGCAAGGCAAACAAACUGUUGAUAAGAAGGAACAGAUGGCAGCACCAUUCUGUCUCAGCACCAAACACUGUCUGGGAGAUGUAUGCAAUGUAAAAAGCAUCCCUGUGUGGAGAAGCAGAUAGUGCUCCUGCAAAGGUUAUCCAGUAUUCAGGUAAGUAUUUAAACAUGCACUUGAUUCCACCUAAGUCAAUGAGACUCCAACAUGUGCUUAAGUGCCUACUGAAUUAGGGCCUUGAUUUGCAUCACAAACACAUCACCACUGCUCAGGAGCUGUUGGAAGACUCAUCCUCAGAAGCCUGCACUGCAGUACCUCACACAAACUCAGUGGUUUUCCCUGUGCCAUGGGAUGGACUGUAGGGGUGGUCGGGCCAACAACCUGCACUGGGUGCCCCCUCAGCCUUCUGUGGCAUGGGCAGCACCCACCCUGGCCAUGCACCAUUGAGAGGUUCUGGGUGGUCUGAAACAGCACAGCACUGCUAGAGCUCUUCCAGCAUUUAGACAGAUCUUGAGAUUAUGGAGGGUAACAGCCAGGUUAGGUAACCUCUAGAAGUAUGAUCUACAAAUAUUUAACAAGGAAAAACUAAUUAUGCCACUCCUGUCACAGUAAGAACAAGGCUUGGAAACUGUAUGAUCAAUAUGGGAAUUUUAGCUGUAAUGCAGUCUGUCAGCCUUUUAGCCAACCAAAAAGCUUCAGCAACUCUAUAAACAGAAUUGACCCUCUAUCUGCUCAUUCUUGCUUGUUCCAGCAAAUUUUACUGUAUUCAUGUUCCAUGUUAGCAGUUGUCUAUCAUGAGACCUUGUAAAAACAGUAUUAAAGAAACACCUCUUCUAAAACUGAAUUUGUCUCCAAGUACAGAAACUAGAAGCUGUCUACUCAAAGUCGUAGGAAUUUAGCUGAGCCUCAGUUAAAUAAAUACUGUGUUAGAUUCUAAGCAACUCCUAGGAGGUUCUUGAGAACGCAUGUUGUGCUAAGGCUAAAGAAACAAGGCACACAGUUAGGAUAAAUACAUGUAACGUUUUGCUGGCCUGGAUUCAUGUUCCAUCUCUGCAUGACUGCUAGCUUCUAGCUGUCAUUGCGUUGGCUACACAUUCAUAUCUAUAUUUAGAUAGUAGACAUUAUAUUUAAAGCUAAUUGGCUCUCUCCAAAAGAGGAGCCUGUUUGCAGUAACCUGGUGGUAUUUGGGACCAUGAGUCUUGGAUGCACAGAAGACAGAAGUUGGAACCCUUUCUAACUGUAACUACUGACAUCUGACUAUGCCAUAUAGUGCAGGAAAUUGUUUUCUUAUGAGGUGCAUAUGUUUUAAAAGAAGCAACAUGGUCAUGUAUUUUACAUGGGUUAUUAAAUAACUAUAAAUUUAAUGAUUCAGAUGUUUUGCAUUAUAACCUGGCAUCUCAGGAGGCAUGAAAAUAGCACAGUAGGAAAAUGUCAUUGCAUAUUUCAUAGGCAGAGCUGUUAACAAAUGGAAAUCCUUCUAUAACUAAAUAAAAGAUCCAUCUUUAGUCC
rnacentral:lncRNA from 7 species